GUCACUUGGUACCUUCUUUGAGGAAGUGUGAACACCACUUUUCAAAAGGCUGAUGUGCACACUCACAUCAACCAGUACUGCAUGAAAAACAUCAAAAUGUACAGGACAAUAAGAGUGCAACCCUAGAAGAGCUUUGGGUGGAAGACGAAAUUCAUGGACUGCAGCAGGAGAAGCAUCCGAGGAAUCCUGUAGACUAGUCCCAUUCUCCAA
rnacentral:misc_RNA from 1 species